rnacentral:rRNA from 1 species
UACGGAGGAUGCGAGCGUUAUCCGGAUUUAUUGGGUUUAAAGGGUGCGUAGGCGGGCUUUUAAGUCAGCGGUAAAAAUUCGGGGCUCAACCCCGUCCGGCCGUUGAAACUGGGGGUCUUGAGUGGGCGAGGAGAAGGCGGAAUGCGUGGUGUAGCGGUGAAAUGCAUAGAUAUCACGCAGAACCCCGAUUGCGAAGGCAGCCUUCCGGCGCCCUACUGACGCUGAGGCACGAAAGUGCGGGGAUCGAACAGG